rnacentral:lncRNA from 1 species
UGCUAAUUACCACCGGCACUGGUGCGGCCGAUGAGGAGGAAACAGAAGCAGGAGUUGCUCGGUAGAAGAAGCGGCGAAGAAAGAGGCAGAAGGAAAAAAGAGAGAGAAAAGAAGAAAGAAAGAAAGGAAGAUGAGUUGCUGGUUGGAGUGGCGCGAGACGGGAAAUAAAUGGCAAGCAGAGCAGCGACGAGGCUCGCUUUCUCGCUCGGUUUCUUUCCCGCGGAUCCGCGGACGCGGUGGUGGUGGUGGGAGACGGGUAGUGCAUCCGCUGCGUCCGCGGCUAAUAAAAAAGGCACGCGAG